AGAGUAUAGCUCAGUGGUGGAGUGUGAGCUUGGCAUGCACGAGGUCCUGGGUUCAAUCCCCAGUGACUCCA
rnacentral:tRNA from 1 species